rnacentral:rRNA from 1 species
UACGUAGGUGGCAAGCGUUAUCCGGAAUUAUUGGGCGUAAAGAGCGCGCAGGUGGUUGAUUAAGUCUGAUGUGAAAGCCCACGGCUUAACCGUGGAGGGUCAUUGGAAACUGGUCGACUUGAGUGCAGAAGAGGGAAGUGGAAUUCCAUGUGUAGCGGUGAAAUGCGUAGAUAUAUGGAGGAACACCAGUGGCGAAGGCGACUUUCUGGUCUAUUAUUGACGCUGAGGCUCGAAAGCAUGGGUAGCAAACAGGAUUAGAUA